rnacentral:lncRNA from 1 species
CUUUAUGUAAAUAACUACAUUGGAAAUUUGCCAAUAUAAAAUGUUGCUGAUGAAGCUUUUUUUCCUUAUCUUAUCUAAAAUGUUCUUAGAUAAUGUAUGUUGGACAUUUGCCAGACAUGACUAUGAUGUCAUUUUCUAUUUUUAUUUGCCAAUAACUUUAUGUAAAUAACUUCAUUGGAAAUUUGCCAAUAUAAAAUGUUGCGGAUGAAGUUUUUUUUAUUGUUUUAUACAAUAAACAAUGUAUAUUCACUUUUACUACCAACCAAUCUUUACCAUUCAGUGAUAAGAAGCACUUUAUUUUACAUUUUAAUAUUUUAUGAUGUAUUUAAAAGAGUAGUUAUUGUUGCAAACUCCA